GCCGCCGUAUACCCCACCGGCACCGGCGCAUCACAUCCACCUCUAAUCUCCCGCUACCCUGAAGAAGGGGGGAAAGGGAUGACAGAUGAAUAGCGAUGGCGAGGAGGAGGGUAUCCGCAGGAGCUGCGUCCACACCUAUUCACCAAAUCGGUAUCCAGGGCAGAACAACCAAGGCACUGCACGGCUGCAGCGUUGUAAUUAAAUCAUCGACAUCAGUGGUGGGGCCUUAUGCUUGGGUACGCAGCGGAGGAGGGAGAAAUAAAUUAUCUGUACUGACCAUCGUUGAAUUAUCAAGCUAGAAUUCAGAAUUUCAGAAGCCAAAGAGGAAACAGAACAUGCCGAACCUUAGGCGGACAGAACGAAGCGGCAGAACACCUUGACUGUGUAUGUUUGUCGCCGACCGGCUGCUCAGAACACAACAGGAAACAAAAAAUGGCACGGUACUGGAGUACAUCCAUCCGGGCGUGCUGUCAAACUGAACAUAAGGUAAGAGAAAAGGUGACAAGCAUAUCAUGGACAACCACAACUUGGAGGAGGAAGCCAAAGAAAGUGUUAGCAAGAGAAGAAAGAAUGCAGAACACACAGGUUCAACUGUGGCUCAAGCACCUCACAAUGAUGGACAUCAAUGGAGGAAGUAUGGUCAGAAAUGGAUCUCUAGAGCAAAACAUUCCAGGAGCUACUACAGGUGUGCCAAUAGUAAAGUGCAAGGCUGUCCUGCAACAAAGACAGUGCAACAAAUGGAUUCCAGUGGAAAUGGAACAUCAAAGUUGUUCAACGUUGACUACUAUGGCCAACACACAUGCAGGGGAGAUGGCAUAGCCAAUCCAUAUGUUGUCGACACAGCCCAUCACAGUAUGGAACCUAUCAAUCAAAACGAAUGCAAUAGCCCUACACUUGAACACGAAGCCCAUGAAGUUCAAGAUGAAAGAUUUGAAAACUUGUGUAUGGUACAAAAUAUGCCAGAGUAUUUGAUAGAUUUUGAAUUGGAGAGAGCCUUCGAGUUUAUUGUGAACUCACCAUUGGGUUCUGAGCAUUGGACGUUCGAUGAUUCAAUAAGAUGUGAGCACAGUCCAAUAUGCAUAUGGGGAUGAUGACUUGAUGUUAGCUAUAAGCUAGCUAGGAGUUUCUUUCAGGAUGUGCUGUAAUGAUAAGUUGUGACCUGGUAAAAAUACAUAGCAUUUUGCUCAUGACUAAGAAGUAAACCUGAAAUUAAGAAGCAUGUGUAUAAGCUAUUAUUAUACUAUUAUAAAAAUUGAAGAUGUUUCCGCGGUC